rnacentral:rRNA from 1 species
CUACCUACGGGAGGCAGCAGUGAGGAAUAUUGGCCAAUGGCCGCAGGGCUGAACCAGCCAAGUCACGUGAGGGAUGACGGUCCGAUGGAUUGUAAACUUCUUUUGUCAGGGAGCAAAGGGCGCCACGUGUGGCGUUUUGCGAGUACCUGAAGAAAAAGCAUCGGCUAACUCCGUGCCAGCAGCCGCGGUAAUACGGAGGAUGCGAGCGUUAUCCGGAUUUAUUGGGUUUAAAGGGUGCGCAGGCGGAAUGUCAAGUCAGCGGUAAAAUUUCGGGGAUCAACCCCGUCGUGCCGUU